GAAGCUGGGAUGUGGGCUGGCAGUUCUGGUUGUCUUGUUAAAGCGGCUCCUCCCGCUCUCCCUGGGCAGAAAGGACAGCUGUGGGGCCCAGUGUCUCUGAGGAUGAGGGGAAGGAGGGCCCUUCUGGAACUGAGUCCACCUUCAACUGGGGAUGAGAAAGAAGGGUCCACAGAGGGCUUGGAAGUUCUAUGUGACCUUCUUGGCAUUUGUCUUCCGUAGUUUCAGGAAGAAGAACUUGCCAUAUCUAAACAGCGGAAAUGGAACUUCUACUUCCUUACAAUUGGAUUUACUUUUGAAAUCAAAGAUGGCACAUUACUGAAAACCUAAGAAGAGGAGUCAAUAUGCAAUACAGAGCCUUGGAGUUAUCCUGAGGAUGGCAUUUUCUUAAAAACAAAAUCAUGCAUUGUGGUCAGCAAGGUUAAGGGCUGUUCUGAGAUAUAUAAUAGAAUGGAAUAAAAGAAAACAGUUUUGCAUUCUUGCUUCUACAUUUCUUACCAAGAGACUAAAAUUUCUUAUG